CCUACGGGAGGCAGCAGUAGGGAAUAUUGCUCAAUGGGGGAAACCCUGAAGCAGCAACGCCGCGUGGAGGAUGAAGGUUUUCGGAUUGUAAACUCCUUUUGUUAGAGAAGAUAAUGACGGUAUCUAACGAAUAAGCACCGGCUAAAUCCGUGCCAGCAGCCGCGGUAAUACGGAGGGUGCAAGCGUUACUCGGAAUCACUGGGCGUAAAGAGGGCGUAGGCGGGAUAGCAAGUCAGAUGUGAAAUCCUAUGGCUUAACCAUAGAACUGCAGUUGAAACUGUUAUUCUAGAGUAUGGGAGAGGUAGGUGGAAUUCUUGGUGUAGGGGUAAAAUCCGUAGAGAUCAAGAGGAAUACUCAUUGCGAAGGCGACCUGCUAGAACAUAACUGACGCUGAUGCGCGAAAGCGUGGGGAGCAAACAGGAUUAGAUACCCCGGUAGUC
rnacentral:rRNA from 1 species